CAUAGUUCUAGGAGGCACAUAUAGAUUGCUGUUGGAGAAUCUUUGGGCAGCUAAAUGUGAAAUGUUCCUUCAAUUCGUGUGUAGGAAUCUAUCCCGUUUGCUGUGGAUAGUUUGCAACAAGAUGUACGACCUAACUUAAUGUAGGUCAUUAGGAAAAAGAAGAUAGGUACUUACGCCGUUUCCACAGGAGAUGUUCAGUGCUCUGGGAGUUCUGCUGCAGUAAUUGGCACAACUUGCUAGGACCAGGCAUGUUACUUCGUUAAAAUUCACAAUUCACGCAAGUAAACUGUGAAGACCAGAUCAACAGUUCUUAAGUUUAACAGCUCAAAUCUAGUUGUAUUUUUCAGUUUGAACUGUGCUGUUAUUUAAGUUGCUGCAUCAUGCUAGCAGUUGAUGGCUCUAACUCUUUUGUUUGUGAACUCUUACUCAUGCAAUCAAAGGUUCAAAGCUGCUUAAAUGCUGUCAAUUUCUCUUAGGGGCUCCCUGUGUGAGUAUAAGAGCUUAAGCCUCUGCUACAGCUGCUGUCAAUAGACUAGGGAGAAAGCUACGGGGUUACCGGAUUUUCAACUGAAUGAAGCACAGAGCGAGAUCAUUUGCUGCUGAAAAGUUAUCUGAUUUCAAGGUUGAUGGAUCAGAUAACUUCAGAAUACCUUUUUGGGCAAAAGGAAGUGCUACGACUGUCAUCUCAGUGGUUUCUUUCACGGUGAUAUGUAAAAGAGGGCUGGUGGUGCUCAGCAUUUAGGUAGAUAAUUGCAUGUGGAGAGAUGUGUUCCCAGUUACAUCCCCUUUUUAAAAUAAGGAGGUGAUUAUUUUAUGUUGUAAAAACAAGUUCUUGUAUAUGCAUUUGAUUAGUUUUUUUUCCUAAAACUACAACUGUAAACAGAGCCUUGCUUCUAUGCCAAGAGCCUGCGCUGCAAGUCCUUCUUUCUCAACUGUAGAUUUUAUCACUACUACUUCCAGAGUUUGCUACAGAAAAGACAUCUUGUGAAGUACUUCACCCUGUUGGGUUUUUGACUGGUCUUACUCCAAAAACCGAAGUUACUCAUGAAUGCUCUCAUCGCUCCAUGAGCUUACCUCCUAAAGCACAAACCCCUUGGAAGCACCAAAAAGUAACACCACUGCUGGAAACUGCGCCUCUCAGCACCAGUGAAAGCAAGAAGAAUUACUUGUCACAACUUUGUGCAAUGAUUUUUUUUUCCAGUUUUUUACGAAUUAGACUAUGGCUGUGUGUUUCUUUAAGGAGAACAAAUGACAAAAAGGCUGGAGAGGGCGGAGUGAUACUAUCCAGCUGUUGGUGACUUGAUUGGAGGAGAGUGGCGCAAGAUGGCCUUUAGGCAUCUCUCCCAGACAAAUGACUCCAUACUUAAGUCAGACAAUGU